rnacentral:lncRNA from 1 species
GGGCAUAUAUGAUGCACACGUGGAUUUCUAUAGGAUAAAUGCCAGCUUCUUCCCCCGUGCAGUUGUUUCCUCCCAUUCCACGGGGCUGGUCCGGGAAAUUGUGAAGGAAUUCUUUGAUGCCUUCCUCCAAGGUUUAGGAAUGACAAAUGGAGCCUUAGGACAACGCUGGCCCGACAGAAGUUUGCUAAACCUGGUCUUCCCUCUCCCGUCUGCUCUCUCUGACUCAGCUCCAGCUCCUCUCUCCUUCUGGCCCCCGAACUCAGCCUUCCCUUCCCUCGGGGCCUUGAGACAAGCUACCUGGCUGUGGCAAUGACCGUUUAAGGAGUGACCCCUACAAGGCAUUUCUGUUUCAACGGCUGACUCUUGAGCCGUAACCCCCAAAAGUGUGGAUGGCAGUGCCGAGACUGGCGGUUAGGGGGUGCUAUCACUCAGAUGGGGCCUGCCCUGAAUAUUAGCCCUUGAUUUGCCACCCCGCUCCCUGCCUGACCCCAGCAGGUUCCCCGCCACCCAAACCCUCCAGCGUCUGAGAAACACAACUUGCCCUGGUCACCCAUCCCCCCACACACACACAGACAGUGCUGACCUUCAGGGUAACAUUGAAACCUCUUCACUGUAAGGUGUGUGUGGAAAAGAAACUGAGCAUCUGAAACCCCAGCUCCUGCACUCCACCCAUUGCCCAAGCGGCCGCCCACAGCAGUUACAAAGAGACACACGUCCACUGGCUGCAUCCAGACUUCGAACAGUUCCUUGAAUCUUGGCCUGCCUUCCAGCCGUGAAUCCUGAAGCAGCUCAAGCAUUCUGUCUGGGGCCACACCCUCCCUUCCUUGGCAGGGUCUCCACUCCCCCAACUUCCACAGGCCCCUCAGCCUCCCCACACGGGGGUUUUAUUGACAGUCACUCGACAGUGGACAAGGCCCUUGACAAAGGAGACCAGGAUGGCCCAUCGGCCUCGCUCUCCUGAAAGAGGAUUGAGGAAGCCAGAGUGUUUCCGUCAAUGUUUUCCCAACUCAA